rnacentral:rRNA from 1 species
UAGCCGGUUUGGAGGGUCCUUUGUGAAGUUGUUAGGCUUAACCUAGCAGCGCGCGAGGGAAACCGCCAGACUUGGGACCGGGAGACGAUAAGAGUAUGCCUUGGGGAGCGGUAAAAUGUUUUAAUCCUUGGUAGACUUCCGAUAGCGAAGGCACUUAUCGAGAACGGGUCCGUCGGUCAGGGACGAAGGCUGGGAGCAAAAUGGAUUAUAUACCCAUGUAGUCCCAGCAGUAAACGCUGCCCAUUAUGUGUCACGUAUCCCACGUGGGUACGUGGGGCCGUAUAGAAGUCGUUAAAUGGGCCACCUGGGUAGUACGGUCGCAAGACUGAAACUUUAAGGAAUUGGCGGGGGAGC